rnacentral:rRNA from 1 species
AGAGUUUGAUCCUGGCUCAGGAUGAACGCUGGCGGCGUGCUUAACACAUGCAAGUCGAAUGUAGCAAUACAUGGCGGACGGGUGAGUAACGCGUGAGCAAUCUGCCCAUAUCUGGGGGAUAACAGUUGGAAACGACUGAUAAUACCGCAUAACAUGGUUUGAAGGCAUCUUCUUUCCAUCAAAGAUUUAUCGGAUAUGGAUGAGCUCGCGUCUGAUUAGCUUGUUGGUGAGGUAACGGCUCACCAAGGCGACGAUCAGUAGCCGACCUGAGAGGGUGAUCGGCCACAUUGGAACUGAGACACGGUCCAAACUCCUACGGGAGGCAGCAGUGGGGAAUAUUGGGCAAUGGAGGAAACUCUGACCCAGCAACGCCGCGUGAAUGAUGAAGGUCUUCGGAUUGUAAAGUUCUUUUCUAAGGGAAGAAGAAAGUGACGGUACCUUAGGAAUAAGCCUCGGCUAACUACGUGCCAGCAGCCGCGGUAAUACGUAGGAGGCGAGCGUUAUCCGG